rnacentral:rRNA from 1 species
GAGGGGGCGAGCGUUGUUCGGAAUUAUUGGGCGUAAAGGGUGCGUAGGCGGUUUGGUAAGUCUUGUGUGAAAUCUCCAGGCUCAACUUGGAGUCUGCACGAGAAACUGCCGGGCUUGAGUGUGGGAGAGGUGAGUGGAAUUCCUGGUGUAGCGGUGAAAUGCGUAGAUAUCAGGAGGAACACCUGUGGCGAAAGCGGCUCACUGGACCACAACUGACGCUGAUGCACGAAAGCUAGGGGAGCAAACAGGAUUAGAUACCCUGGUAGUCCUAGCCCUAAACGAUGACUGCUUGGUGUGACGGGUACCCAAUCCCGCCGUGCCGUAGCUAACGCGUUAAGCAGUCCGCCUGGGGAGUACGGUCGCAAGGCUG